rnacentral:rRNA from 1 species
GAUGAACGCUGGCGGCGUGCCUUAGGCAUGCAAGUCGAACGGUCGCGUUUAACGCGACAGUGGCAGACGGGUGAGUAACGCGUAGGAAUCUACCCUUUGGUCAAGGAUAGCCCGCCGAAAGGCGGAGUAAUCCUGGAAAGAUCGCAAGAUGGAAGGCCGUAACUGGCCGCCGAAGGAGGAGCCUGCGUCCUAUCAGCUUGUUGGUAGGGUAAAAGCCUACCAAGGCAAUGACGGGUAGGGGGCGUGAGAGCGUGAUCCCCCACGAUGGGACUGAGACACGGCCCAUACACCUACGGGUGGCAGCAACUAGGAAUCGUUCGCAAUGGGCGAAAGCCUGACGACGCGACGCCGCGUGCGGGAUGAAGGCCUUCGGGUUGUAAACCGCUGUGGUAAGGGAAAAGAGAGGAUGGUACCUUACUAGAAAGCCCCUGCUAACUACGUGCCAGAAGCCUCGGUGAAACGUAGGGGGCAAGCGUUAUCCGGAUUUAUUGGGCGUAAAGAGUUCGUAGGUGGUUUUUUAAGUCACGAGUUAAAUCCUUCGGCUCAACCGAAGACCUGCUCGUGAUACUGGAAGACUAGAACCUCGUAGGGGAUGCUGGAAUUUGCGGUGUAGCAGUGAAAUGCGUUGAUACCGCAAGGAACACCAAGGGCGAAGGCAGGCAUCUGGGCGAGUGUUGACACUGAGGAACGAAAGCUAGGGGAGCAAAUCGGAUUAGAGACCCGAGUAGUCCUAGCCGUAAACGAUCCUCGCUAGCUGCUUUAAUUUUGUAUUGGAGUGGCGUAAGCUAACGCGUUAAGCGAGGCGCCUGGGGAGACGGCCGCAAGGCU